AUGAACGCUGGCGGCGUGCCUCAUACAUGCAAGUCGAGCGAACAGACGAGGAGCUUGCUCCUCUGACGUUAGCGGCGGACGGGUGAGUAACACGUGGAUAACCUACCUAUAAGACUGGGAUAACUUCGGGAAACCGGAGCUAAUACCGGAUAAUAUAUUGAACCGCAUGGUUCAAUAGUGAAAGACGGUUUUGCUGUCACUUAUAGAUGGAUCCGCGCCGCAUUAGCUAGUUGGUAAGGUAACGGCUUACCAAGGCAACGAUGCGUAGCCGACCUGAGAGGGGGACCGGCAACCGGGGACGUGAGACCGGGCCAAGACUCCUACGGGAGGGAGAAGAGGGGAAUCUUCCGAAAGGGGCAAAAGCCGAACGGCGCAACGCGGGGGGGGGGAGGAGGGUCUUCGGAUCUAAAACCUUUUUAAUGGGGAAAAAACAAAUGUGAAAGAACCUAUGCCCUUCUGGAGGGGCCAUAAUAAAAAACCCACGGCAAACUACGUC
rnacentral:rRNA from 1 species